GCGGUGCGCAGGUCAGGGCAGCCAAUGGGCAGGCGUAGGGGGGCCGUGGGGCGGCCAGUUUGAAUGGCGGGAGCGGUCGGAGCGGAUGGCCGCGGACAGGGGAUGAGAGCGAUACUAGGAUUAGUGGGAUUGGGAUCGGGAUAACGAGACUGGGAGGGGGGCGCGGCCCACGGAGUUGUGCUGGGGCCCGGGGGCUCACGGGGCUCGGUUCCCCCCGGGGCUCUUCCUGCUCCUCCACGAUCCCAACGCUUUUCCCUGCCCUUUUCCCUGCAGGAGCCACGAGGCUCAGAUCCGGAAUUACCAAGGGCCAGACCCGCUGGAGCCCUGGGACAGUUCUUAUGGCUUGUGCUACCUUCUCCUGGGCAGGCAGAGUUCAUCUCUCCCCCUGGCCAGUAUUUUGAGUACCUGCACGGGCGGGGAAUCGGAGCAAAGUCCUCGGAUUUCUACGUGGCUUGGGCUCAGCAGCUGCUGAGUGAAGGCAACAUGCAGGGGGCAGGGGCUGUGCUCCAGAAAGGGCUCCACAACCAGGCAGAGCCCCGAGAGAACCUGCAGCAGCUCCACUGCUGGUUGCAGAGUUCUGAUCCUGGGAAUCCUCCUUUGCAAGGGUCCUGAUGCUGCUGGUUCUCAGCCCUGU